AGGGGUUUAUCGCUGUAAAGAACAGAUUGAUUGGAAACGAAAAUACGGCAAAUAUAAGCUCCUUAAUUACUGAACCUUCCAAAUGCCAGCGGUGUACUAAGAGGAAUGUUCGUCAAGCUUAUCACAAUGUCUGCCAUGGUUAGUUUUAGUUCUAAAACUGUUAUUGUAUUGUGUUUUGCUUUCAUUUUGUCGUAAUUUAGCCUUCGGAAAACGGAAUAAAGAAUCAAAUUUUUGUUGGGGGUGGACAUUUUUGUUCUUAAUUAUUGAGAAUAAUGUGCGUAGGUUGUGCUAAAGAGCAUAAACCCGAAAAAUCGAGAAAGAUUGAUAAAAAAUUAAGUUUUUUUUUGAUGAAUUGGUUAAUGUUGAAGCGGAUGCAGUCAGUUUAUGAAUUAAUAUUUGUAUUUCUUCCCGUGCAUAGAUAUUUUAGAAGUAGAAGCUGAGAAAAAGACAUUAGACGAGGCAAUCAAGAAUGCUCCGGAGAGGGAUAGGAGAUCUUUGCUAAGAGCUGUAAGUUUUUUGUCGGAAUUUUUUUUUUUCUGAUUUAUUUUGUUUGAACUGAAUUUGGGCCGCCGAGGAGAUGUAGUGCAUCAAUUAUCGGAGAUGGAUGUUGCUGUUAUUUUUUCGCCAGAGAAUGUUGUCUGGCCCGCCGACGAAGCUAUAUCCGUGAAAGGAAGAGCGGUGGUGGUCGUCGUAGAAUUUUGGAAAUUUAUUAAAUUAGGUGUUUGAGAUUUUUUUUUUUGUGCAGGGAUGGAUUGGGUUUGGGAAGGAAGGAUGGGGAUGGAUGACAGCUUCUUUUUCCUUGUUUUUUUUUUUUUUUUUUUUUUUUUAAUAUCUAUUUCAAUUUGUAUUUAAUUAAUAUUAAAGAUGUAAGUGAAAGGACGAAUUUACCCCUCAAAAUCUCACAUGCAAAGCACAUGUUUUAAUAUUCCGGUCAAAAUUGCCGGAAAAUUGAGUUUAGGGGGCACCGUGCAACGAAUUAACGAGUUCAGGUAAAAA